rnacentral:rRNA from 1 species
UACGUAGGGGGCAAGCGUUGUCCGGAAUCAUUGGGCGUAAAGAGCUCGUAGGCGGAUUGCUAAGUCGGGUGUGAAAUCUCGGAGCUUAACUCCGAAACUGCAUUCGAUACUGCCGUGCUUGAGGACUGGAGAGGAGACUGGAAUUUACGGUGUAGCGGUGAAAUGCGUAGAUAUCGUAAGGAAGACCAGUGGCGGAAGGCGGGUCUCUGGACAGUUCCUGACGCUGAGGCACGAAGGCCAGGGGAGCAAACGGG